rnacentral:rRNA from 1 species
GACGAACGCUGGCGGCGCGCCUAACACAUGCAAGUCGAACGGAGAACUUUUGGAAUGAGACUUCGGUUGAGUGAAGAUAGUUCUUAGUGGCGGACGGGUGAGUAACACGUGAGCAACCUGCCUUUCAGUGGGGAAUAACGUUUGGAAACGAACGCUAAUACCGCAUAACGUCAUUUAUUCGCAUGAAUGAAUGACCAAAGGAUUUAUUCGCUGAAAGAUGGGCUCGCGUCCGAUUAGAUAGUUGGUGAGGUAACGGCCCACCAAGUCGACGAUCGGUAGCCGGACUGAGAGGUUGAACGGCCACAUUGGGACUGAGACACGGCCCAG